rnacentral:rRNA from 1 species
UACGUAGGUGACAAGCGUUGUCCGGAUUUACUGGGCGUAAAGAGCGCGCAGGCGGUCGAUCAAGUCGAGUGUGAAAGCCCCCGGCUCAACUGGGGAGGGUCAUUCGAUACUGAUCGACUCGAAGGCAGGAGAGGGUAGUGGAAUUCCCGGUGUAUUGGUGAAAUGCGUAGAUAUCGGGAGGAACACCAGUGGCGAAGGCGACUACCUGGCCCGUUCUUGACGCUGAGGCGCGAAAGCUAGGGGAGCAAACGGG